rnacentral:snRNA from 13 species
AUACUUACCUUCUUGACAGUACCCUAGCUCACGAAUUAGGGACUGGCGAUACGAGCCCUCCAUUGCACAUCGGGGUGGCGAGAAUCGUUUACUUGGCUUCGGUCACGUAAUCGGGGGAAUUUUUGAUUGCACUCGUGGCUUGCCACACC